rnacentral:rRNA from 1 species
UCCCAAUAGCGGAGGAAAAGAAACCAACAGGGAUUGCCCUAGUAACGGCGAGUGAAGCGGCAACAGCUCAAAUUUGAAAGCUAGCCUUCGGGUUCGCAUUGUAAUUUGUAGAGGAUGAUUUGGGGAAGCCGCCUGUCUAAGUUCCUUGGAACAGGACGUCAUAGAGGGUGAGAAUCCCGUAUGUGACAGGAAAUGGCACCCUAUGUAAAUCUCCUUCGACGAGUCGAGUUGUUUGGGAAUGCAGCUCUAAAUGGGAGGUAAAUUUCUUCUAAAGCUAAAUAUUGGCGAGAGACCGAUAGCGCACAAGUAGAGUGAUCGAAAGAUGAAAAGCACUUUGGAAAGAGAGUUAAAAAGCACGUGAAAUUGUUGAAAGGGAAGCGCUUGCAAUCAGACUUGUUUAAACUGUUCGGCCGGUCUUCUGACCGGUUUACUCAGUUUGGACAGGCCAGCAUCAGUUUCGGCGGCCGGAUAAAGGCUCUGGGAAUGUGGCCUCCACUUCGGUGGAGGUGUUAUAGCCCAGGGUGUAAUACGGCCAGCCGGGACUGAGGUCCGCGCUUCGGCUAGGAUGCUGGCGUAAUGGUUGUAAGCGACCCGUCUUAAACCCCCGGGA